rnacentral:rRNA from 1 species
GACGAACGCUGGCGGCGUGCUUAACACAUGCAAGUCGAACGGAAAGGCCUGCUUUCCCUUGUGGAUUGCGGGUACUCGCGUGGCGAACGGGUGAGUAACACGUGAGUGAUCUGCCCCCAACUUGGGUAUAAGCCUGGGAAACUGGGUCUAAUUCCCGAUAGGACUGCAGGGUGGUGCCUGUGGUGGAAAACGAUUUUCUAGUGGUUGGGGAUGAGCUCGCGGCCUAUCAGCUUGUUGGUGGGGUAAUGGCCUACCAAGGCGGCGACGGGUAGCCGGCCUGAGAGGGUGGACGGCCACAGUGGGACUGAGAUACGGCCCAGACUCCUACGGGAGGCAGCAGUGGGGAAUAUGGCACAAUGGGCGGAAGCCUGAUGCAGCGACGCCGCGUGGGGGAUGACGGCCUUCGGGUUGUAAACUCCUUUCGACCGCGAGGAAGCCACCUGGUUGGAAGGGUGGUGACGGUAGUGGUAGAAGAAGCACCGGCUAACUACGUG